rnacentral:rRNA from 1 species
CCCUUAGAUGUUCUGGGCCGCACGCGCGCUACACUGAUGCAUUCAACAAGCCUAGCCUUGACCGAGAGGUCCGGGUAAUCUUUGAAACUGCAUCGUGAUGGGGCUAGAUUAUUGCAAUUAUUAAUCUUCAACGAGGAAUGCCUAGUAAGCGUGAUUCAUCAAAUCGCGUUGAUUACGUCCCUGCCCUUUGUACACAUCGCCCGUCGCUCCUACCGAUUGAAUGUGUUGGUGAGGAGCUCGGAUUGGCAGCAGUUGGUGGUUCGCCACCGGCUAUUGCUGAGAAGUCCUCCAAACCGCCCCAUUUAGAGGAAGGAGAAGUCGUAACA